AAAACAUUCUUAUGAGUUUAUAUAUAGCACCAAUUCUUUGAGCAGUAUUGUUUGGUAACAAUAAUAACAUUAUUGUUUUAGUUUCUCAAAAGCUCUCUUCAUAGCAGUAGUUGAAUUGUGGCAGACUAAAUGCCACAGUACAUUUCUAUGAGUUCUACCAUUUUAUUCUGCAUCCAUGGGCAUGGAAGUUGCAGGUGUUGGUUUCUCUUACCAAGUUUAAAUUGUUUCCUAGUAUCCAUGAGCAAAAAAAUGUUACUGCAUGAAGAGCACCUUGACAAAAAAUCCCAGCUGCAUACAAACUUCUACUAUCUGGACAGAGUUGGAAUCCUUCCACAUCUGCUGGAUUUGAAAUUGGCACAUGGUGUAUCUCUUAGAAAACCAAUAAGAGGCUCGUAAAGGAAUGAGGAAGAGUGUGUCAAGUGACUGAGUGGCAUAAUGAUUUGGCCCAUGGAAAUGGUGGAAGAGCUCCCCAAUCCCAAUUCAGCUGCACCCUGCAAACACCACAUUUCUGUAUGAAGACUGCACUGAUAGAAAAAGAAGAUCUGUGCCACAGCUUUUUGCAGGACUUUACAUAAUAGCUUCUCAGUAGAUUUGUGAAUAGCCAGAAAAACUGUCGAGGGAAGCAAUGGUGCAGACACCAGCCUGAGCUGCAGUUCUUUCCUGUAGCUUUCUUUAUAUAAGGGCAGAGAGAUGUUAAGCGUACAGUGCUACUCCUAUUUCAUAUUUUUUUGCACUUUGACUAAAAGAUGCUAUAUGUGAUCCAAAAGUUCUGUCACAUUAACUAAGUUAACACAUUAACUAACCAUGCAUGUGGUUGUUGUUGGUUGUGAAACUACUAGCGUGGAUUUUUUUCUGGAUGAGAUGUUAACAUGAACACAUGUACAUGCAGGCAGACAUACUUUUGAAGAAGCAACUUGUUAAGUCUUUCUAAGAGUACUACAGUUUGAGACAGUAAUAAUUAGGAAAAAAAAAAAAAGAUAAAUAAUGGUCUAUUUUUAAAAUGGCAGUAUGUAACUGAUGCCUGAUGGAAAAGUCAGUGCAGAGAGAAUAAAACACACCAAAGAAAUAAACUGGAAGAAAAG
rnacentral:lncRNA from 1 species